rnacentral:snRNA from 1 species
CUCUUUGCACAGUGGCAGUACCAUAGCCAGUGAGGUUUAUCUGAGAUGCAGUUAUUACUAAUCGAAAACUUUUCCAAAAAAA